rnacentral:rRNA from 1 species
UAAAAUGAGAGUUUGAUCCUGGCUCAGGACGAACGCUGGCGGCGUGCCUAAUACAUGCAAGUCGAGCGAGCGGAACUAACAGAUUUACUUCGGUAAUGACGUUAGGAAAGCGAGCGGCGGAUGGGUGAGUAACACGUGGGGAACCUGCCCCAUAGUCUGGGAUACCACUUGGAAACAGGUGCUAAUACCGGAUAAGAAAGCAGAUCGCAUGAUCAGCUUUUAAAAGGCGGCGUAAGCUGUCGCUAUGGGAUGGCCCCGCGGUGCAUUAGCUAGUUGGUAAGGUAAAGGCUUACCAAGGCGAUGAUGCAUAGCCGAGUUGAGAGACUGAUCGGCCACAUUGGGACUGAGACACGGCCCAAACUCCUACGGGAGGCAGCAGUAGGGAAUCUUCCACAAUGGACGCAAGUCUGAUGGAGCAACGCCGCGUGAGUGAAGAAGGUUUUCGGAUCGUAAAGCUCUGUUGUUGGUGAAGAAGGAUAGAGGUAGUAACUGGCCUUUAUUUGACGGUAAUCAACCAGAAAGUCACGGCUAACUACGUGCCAGCAGCCGCGGUAAUACGUAGGUGGCAAGCGUUGUCCGGAUUUAUUGGGCGUAAAGCGAGCGCAGGCGGAAGAAUAAGUCUGAUGUGAAAGCCCUCGGCUUAACCGAGGAACUGCAUCGGAAACUGUUUUUCUUGAGUGCAGAAGAGGAGAGUGGAACUCCAUGUGUAGCGGUGGAAUGCGUAGAUAUAUGGAAGAACACCAGUGGCGAAGGCGGCUCUCUGGUCUGCAACUGACGCUGAGGCUCGAAAGCAUGGGUAGCGAACAGGAUUAGAUACCCUGGUAGUCCAUGCCGUAAACGAUGAGUGCUAAGUGUUGGGAGGUUUCCGCCUCUCAGUGCUGCAGCUAACGCAUUAAGCACUCCGCCUGGGGAGUACGACCGCAAGGUUGAAACUCAAAGGAAUUGACGGGGGCCCGCACAAGCGGUGGAGCAUGUGGUUUAAUUCGAAGCAACGCGAAGAACCUUACCAGGUCUUGACAUCUAGUGCCAUUUGUAGAGAUACAAAGUUCCCUUCGGGGACGCUAAGACAGGUGGUGCAUGGCUGUCGUCAGCUCGUGUCGUGAGAUGUUGGGUUAAGUCCCGCAACGAGCGCAACCCUUGUUAUUAGUUGCCAGCAUUAAGUUGGGCACUCUAAUGAGACUGCCGGUGACAAACCGGAGGAAGGUGGGGAUGACGUCAAGUCAUCAUGCCCCUUAUGACCUGGGCUACACACGUGCUACAAUGGGCAGUACAACGAGAAGCGAGCCUGCGAAGGCAAGCGAAUCUCUGAAAGCUGUUCUCAGUUCGGACUGUAGUCUGCAACUCGACUGCACGAAGCUGGAAUCGCUAGUAAUCGCGGAUCAGCACGCCGCGGUGAAUACGUUCCCGGGCCUUGUACACACCGCCCGUCACACCAUGGGAGUCUGCAAUGCCCAAAGCCGGUGGCCUAACCUUCGGGAAGGAGCCGUCUAAGGCAGGGCAGAUGACUGGGGUGAAGUCGUAACAAGGUAGCCGUAGGAGAACCUGCGGCUGGAUCACCUCCUUU